AAGCUCAAAUUUGAAAUCUCGGCACCUUCGGUGUCCGAGUUGUAAUUUGAAGAUUGUAACCUUGGGGUUGGCUCUUGUCUAUGUUUCUUGGAACAGGACGUCACAGAGGGUGAGAAUCCCGUGCGAUGAGAUGCCCAAUCCUAUGUAAGGUGCUUUCGAAGAGUCGAGUUGUUUGGGAAUGCAGCUCUAAGUGGGUGGUAAAUUCCAUCUAAAGCUAAAUAUUGGCGAGAGACCGAUAGCGAACAAGUACAGUGAUGGAAAGAUGAAAAGAACUUUGAAAAGAGAGUGAAAAAGUACGUGAAAUUGUUGAAAGGGAAGGGUUUGAGAUCAGACUCGAUAUUUUGUGAGCCUUGCCUUCGUGGCGGGGUGACCCGCAGCUUAUCGGGCCAGCAUCGGUUUGGGCGGUAGGAUAAUGGCGUAGGAAUGUGACUUUGCUUCGGUGAAGUGUUAUAGCCUGCGUUGAUGCUGCCUGCCUAGACCGAGGACUGCGAUUUUAUCAAGGAUGCUGGCAUAAUGAUCCCAAACCGCCCGUCUU
rnacentral:rRNA from 1 species